rnacentral:pre_miRNA from 1 species
GUACUACUCCCUCUGAUCCAUAUUAAUUGUCGAAAUAUUACAUGUAUCUAGACACUUUUUAGGCAUAGAUGCAUUCAUAUUUGGACAAAUUUGAGACGAUUAAUAUGGAUCGGAGGGAGUACAUU